rnacentral:siRNA from 1 species
AUUCUCUCCUAAUCUAGUAUUCC